UACAGAGGGUGCAAGCGUUGCUCGGAAUCAUUGGGCGUAAAGGGUAGGUAGGUGGUCUCAUUUGUCUGGGGUGAAAGCCCAGGGCUUAACCCUGGAAGUGACCCCGGAACGGUGAGACUGGAGUCCUGGAGAGGGUCGUGGAAUUCCCGGUGUAGCGGUGAAAUGCGUAGAGAUCGGGAGGAACACCGGUGGCGAAGGCGGCCUUCUGGUCGGAUACUGACGCUAAAACGCGAAAGCGUGGGGAGCAAACAGGG
rnacentral:rRNA from 1 species